UACGGAGGGUGCGAGCGUUGUCCGGAAUCACUGGGCGUAAAGGGCGCGUAGGCGGCCUGAUAAGUAGGGGGUGAAAUCCUGCGGCUUAACCGCAGGGCUGCCUUCUAAACUGUCAGGCUUGAGCACAGUAGAGGCAGGUGGAAUUCCCGGUGUAGCGGUGGAAUGCGUAGAGAUCGGGAAGAACAUCAGUGGCGAAGGCGGCCUGCUGGGCUGUUGCUGACGCUGAGGAGCGAAAGCGUGGGGAGCGAACAGG
rnacentral:rRNA from 1 species